CAUAAAAUUAACCAUCAUAGCAUGUUUCUAAUACUUAGGACUCAGUACUAUAUUUGCUAUUAUUUCUUUUUUAAAAGCAACCACUGAGCUCCAAAUAGCCCUCAGAGCCAAGCACCAGCACACCCUUCCUUUUAGAAAUAAUCUUGACCAUCUUGAAGCAUCAUUUCCCAUAUGCAGAAGGCAAAGCCUGGAGACAAGCCUACUCAAGUUCUGGACUUUACUCCUGAGCCUCAGAAGAAAUUCACUGAGGAGGGCUUCAAACUCCAGGGGAUGAACAGCUCCUUCCAGGUCUCAAGAAAAUACCAUUGCAUAGCCCAGCAACUGUAAGGGCCAUUUAUUGUCUGCAUCUGAUGCUGAAGCUCAGUGGCCACAGAACAGGCAGUUGAGAAAGAGAAAGAACAAGCUGGCAUCUGCAAUUACGUGCCGGAACCCCAUGCGGAUGGACCAGGCCCCAUCUAGUUCUUGCUGCUUCUGACCUUGGUGGUGUGGAUGUGCUACAAAAGCUGGGGCCUUUCUUCAUGAAGCUAAGUCACACGCCUGAUGCAGGAGUCAGAGGAUCCAGAGGAAGGCGGUGUUGCAGGCCUGGCCACUGUCUUGUGUUAACAAAGUGAACCACGAGAUACACAGCAACAUGUGCGAGCUACAAGACAGCUGCUGUUUCCCUACUCCCCCUAAGUUGUAGGGGCUGGGCCUAGAAGAAACGAUGGCUGGAAAGAAUGUGAGCAAGGUGAAUGAAGGGUCAGGUGAAAACGCCUGCCCGAGCUGCUUGUUUGCUGAGUGCAAAGGUCACCUGAAAACAGCUGACCUGUAUGGAAAGAAAGGAUGGAUGGAUGGAAAGAACGUGAGGGUCAGGUGAAAAUGCCUGCCCAAAGUUGUUUGUUUGCUGAGUGCAAAGCUGUUUUCAGCUGACCUGUAUGAAAGUUGUUAAAGAAAUUAACAAAGGGCCCUGACCCUUUGCACAUGUCCUUGGAAAUAAAUACGGGGAGGAACUUAGCCGAGGAGGCUAUUUUCUCCUUUAAGUUUUA